UAUAUCCUUCCUUCAACCAUGUUUAUAACGAAUUUAGCAUACAGGCAAGCAGGCGCGCCGAUCAGUUGUCGUAGGUGCGGCACUCGUCGGUCUCCGGGUUCUCCUUGCAGUACUUCUCGAGCGGGUCGUUGUCCUCCUUGAGCUUGUCCCGGGCGUGGCUCGCCGCGGCGCUGAGCUCCUCCACCUCGUCCCACGCCGCCGCGCACUCGCCGGAGCCCUCCUCGCCCUCGCACGUCUGCUCCGCCUUCUUGAUGCUCUCCGACACCUGGUCGGAGAUCCCCGGCGGCGUGGCCGGCCCGCUUGACCUCACCGCGAAGCCGCGGCGCGCCGCGGCCGGGAACCAGACGCGCCCCGCGGCGGCCUUCCUCCUCAUCGGGAGCACGUCGGCGGCGGCCGCGAAGGUCGCCGUGGUAGAAAGGCUCGCCACCGUCGACGCCAUCUUUGCAGCUAGCUAGCUGUGUGUCGCGAAGUUUUUUCUGUGAUUUGUUGUGGCUUUACUUGAAGAACUGU
rnacentral:lncRNA from 1 species